GGAAGGGUGGUCGAGCGGUUUAAGGCACCGGUCUUGAAAACCGGCGUGGCAGCAAUGCCACCGUGGGUUCGAAUCCCACCCCUUCCGCCA
rnacentral:tRNA from 2 species